GAUGAACGCUGGCGGCGUGCCUAAUACAUGCAAGUCGAGCGAACAGACUAUGCGCUUGCUCCUCUGACGUUAGCGGCGGACUUGUGAGUAACACGUGAAUAACCUAGCUAUAAGACUGGGAUAACGUCGGAAAACCGGAGCUAAUACCCUAUAAUCUAUUGAACCUCAUUAUUCAAUGGUGAUAGACUGUAUUGCUGUCUCUUAUCAAUGCAUCCGGGCCGAAUGUUCUAGUUGGUAGGGUAACGGCUUACCAAGGCAACGAUGCGUAACCGACCUGGGAGGGUAAUCGGCAACACUGGACCUGGGAAAGGCCCCGACCCCCACGGGAAGGAGCCAGUAGGGAAUCUUGGGAAAUGGCGGAAGGCUUGACGGAGCACGCCCGGGUGAGUAAUGAAGGUUUUCGAAUCGAAAACUUCUGUUAUUGGGGAGAACGAAAUGGGGAAGUAAAUAUGCACGCCUUGACGGUACCUAAUCAGAAAGCCACGGCUAACUACGUG
rnacentral:rRNA from 1 species